AGGAUAAACGCUGGCGGCGUGCAUGAGACAUGCAAGUCAAACGGACGAUCGGGGUUCGCUCUGAUCGUUAGUGGCGGACGGCUGAGUAACGCGUAGGUGACCUGCCCCGAAGUGGGGAAUAACUGCCCGAAAGGGUGGCUAAUACCGCAUGUGGUGGUGCGUUCGAUCGCACCAGUAAAGCCGCAAGGCGCUUCGGGAGGGGCCCGCGUCCGAUUAGCUCGUUGGUGAGGUAACGGCUCACCAAGGCGACGAUCGGUAGGUGGUCUGAGAGGACGAUCACCCAGACUGGGGACUGAGACACGGCCCAGACUCCUACGGGAGGCAGCAGUCGGGAAUUUUGCGCAAUGGACGAAAGUCUGACGCAGCAACGCCGCGUGAGGGAUGAAGGCCUUCGGGUUGUAAACCUCUUUUUCCAGGGAAGAUAAUGACGGUACCUGGCGAAUAAGUCACGGCUAACUACGUGCCAGCAGCCGC
rnacentral:rRNA from 1 species